rnacentral:rRNA from 1 species
CAUGCAAGUCGCACGCCCCGGCAACGGGGAGUGGCGGACGGGUGAGGAACGCGUAGGAACAUGUCCAGAGGUGGGGGACAACCCUGGGAAACCGGGGCUAAUACCGCAUACGGCCCGAGGGCCAAAGCCGAAAGGCGCCUUUGGAGCGGCCUGCGUACGAUUAGAUAGUUGGUGAGGUAAAGGCUCACCAAGUCUACGAUCGUUAACUGGUCUGAGAGGAUGAUCAGUCAGACUGGAACUGAGACACGGUCCAGACUCCUACGGGAGGCAGCAGUAAGGAAUCUUCCACAAUGGGGGAAACCCUGAUGGAGCAACACCGCGUGCAGGAUGAAGGCCUUCGGGUCGUAAACUGCUUUUAUGAGCGAAGAAUAUGACGGUAACUCAUGAAUAAGGGUCGGCUAACUACGUGCCAGCAGCCGCGGUCAUACGUAGGACCCAAGCGUUAUCCGGAGUGACUGGGCGUAAAGAGUUGCGUAGGCGGUCCGUAAAGCGAAUAGUGAAAUCUCAUGGCUCAACCAUGAACACAUUGUUUGAACUCACGAACUCGAGAAUGGUAGAGGUGGCUGGAAUUUCCUGUGUAGGAGUGAAAUCCGUAGAUAUAGGAAGGAACACCAAUGGCGUANGCAGGCCACUGGACCAUUUCUGACGCUGA